GCCAGUGUGGUGUAGUGGUUUGAGUGUUGGACUAUGACUCUGGAGACCAGGGUUUGAAUCUCAGCUCGGCCA
rnacentral:tRNA from 1 species